AUUGUCGAAAUUUGGGGAAAACUAUCUUGGUGUUCAAUUGGGCAGAAUCACAAUCUCCUUGAGGGUUUCAAGAACCCUAACACUUAUUUCUAUUCUCAAUUUGAUUCUUUGCUGAUUUGAGGAUUUUAUUUCAGAUCUGGAAAUUCAAAGUUCUAAUCUUUUAAUUUUUCUGUUUCGUUUCGGAUCUGAUUGUUUAGGGUUUUCGUAGGAGUUUCCCG
rnacentral:lncRNA from 1 species